GAAUUGAAAAAAAUUGUCCCAUCCGUUAUUACACAGCGGAUUUUAAUAUAAGAUAGGGUGUUUUGGUGCAAGAUUUAUGGAGAGAAAGAAAGGCAUGGGUGCUACUCAAGAAGAACAAAACUAGUCGAGUGAAGAGGAAGAGAAAUAAGCUUGGAGAAACUGCUCGGAUGGUGGUCCAUGGAAUAUGGGUUUUCAGCUCAACUAUAUUAGAAGAUCUUGCAAAUCCGGGCUUCACAUUGAAAUAUCUCAUAAAGGCAGAGCUUCAGAUGAUAUCGUUGAUGCCUUAGCCAAGCAGGGUCUUCUUUGCUCUAGUAAUUUUGUUGUGUGGCUUUGAUGUUCAUUCUUCUUAUAAUUGAUCCCUUUGUGUCAAGGUUGCCUCUUCAUUUAUCCCUUGUAUUUUGAGCUGCAGUUUCUGUUUGAA